GGAUUUGUGGCAUGAUUAUUACUUCAUCUUGGACUAAGUAGUAGACCUUUGAUAGCAAAUAAACUAAUUAUUAAAAUAUGCACUUUUUUAGAUUUUCAACUAAUAAAUAUGAUUCUUUCUGUUUUGCUUAUUGCCUUUGCUGGUUUCACAAUAUGGAUGGGAGAGUGGACAUCUAUACGUCGUGCAAUCAGAAAUUAAACAAAUGUUUAUUUUUCAUUUCAUGAGAGACAAAUUUGUCCUUUUUUUCUUUUAGUUAUUAAAUUACUUCAUUUCGUUUGACUCAUGAGUCGGUUGUGAAUGUAUAAAAUAUGACAUGUAGGUGAGAUGAGGAAGAAGCCGACAAUUUUAAUGAAUGCUUUUUGUAUGACCCCAUAAUAAGAAGCAGGAUGAUAGACGGAUCAAGAGCUCAUGAAAUAUACUUGGGUGCUUCAUUCAGCCAUUUAGGCCAUGCUAGGAACACGUUUCCAGGGAACCUGGCUUCCUUGCUUGCCGCUCUCUAUUUCCACGGAGAUGGAAUCGCUGAGCGGCUUAUGCAGCACUGAUGCAAAAUUAUAUUCUCACAUGUAUGGCCUGGUUGAUUGUGAACUGUGGAUGGCUCAUUUCAUGAGGAACAACAAGUGAUGAUGCAUGUGCAUUAGGAAUUAUAUAUAUAUAACCUUGUCCUUUCUUUUAAUUGUCGGGGCCGUCAUGAGUGCCGAAACCGAUUUCGGUAAGAUGAUGAUGGCUCCUUCGGGCCCUCGAGAAUCCACGUACCGCCACGGGGGAGGCCCUCAAAAAAAGUGAUAGAGCAAGAAAGAAAGAAAGGAUCAAAACAUCACGGGCCGCACGCAAAAGAAGAGAGAGGAUAGCCAGAAUUGUAUUGAGGCCGCAGCAACAAGAAAACAAUAUAUAUAUAUAUGAAUAAACUACUAGAUACUAACAGAUACAGCCUAUAUAAACUACUAGAUACUAACAGAUGCAGCCUUUGGUGGUAAGUGCAUGGCUUCCCAAGUAGUUUGGCAGGUGUGCUAGGAGCAAUUGGUUCGAGGACUGAAGUUUUUUGGAAGUCGCCAUCAUAUAGACAUUCAAGAAGGAAUAAGCCAGUGAACUUGAUUUGUUUAGUCUCUAAGCGUCACAGUGCGAUUCUUUGCUUGAACUCUAGGUACCCCCAUACAGUUGUAACAUAUAACCAGAAAUUCUUUCUCUAUCAUCAAAGGUUUUAGAUUAGAGAUCAAUACCGAUACAACCUUUUGCUAAAAUAAGAAGCAACUUGAAAAAGAUGUUGUAAAUGAGGGUUGGUUGUUGGAACAGA